ensembl:lncRNA
UAAUAUAAAUGUUUGGUCAGUUAUUUCAGUUAACUAUAAUCUUUCAAGUUAAAAAAUUUUUAACUUAAAAAGAGUUUUAACACAAGAUAAAAAAAUAAUAUUAACAGAGAUAGGAAAUUCAUAAUGGCUAAAUAGAAAAUAAGCUUUGUCUUCACAGUUAGAAACUAACUCUUGUACGUUUCCCUUUGCACUAAAAAAUAACUAGCCAAGAGUUUCCAUUCACAUGAACAAUGUGUGAUCAGAUUUGGUACAGUCUAUGCCCAAAAGUGUGUUGGGUAUUUCUUCACCUUAUGUUCUUAAAAUCAGAAACAUGAUUUUCAUAGAAUAAAUUAGGAGUUUAUGUAUAGUAGAACUUAAUACUAUUAACACAUUAAUACAUUCCAUUCAUAAUACUAUUAUUGAGAAAUCAAACUGACAACCUUAUAUCAGGUAUUUCCCACAUCUCAUUCAAUUCAUAGGACAUUUUUGGACUUGCAUUUCACCAAGAACUAUGGAGUAACAAGAUAAAUGAUACUGAGGUUCUAUGAGAUUUUUGGGGUUCAUUCCCUAGGACAUGCUAAAGAAGUCUAAAAGAAACCCAGCUAAAAAAAAUUUGAAAAUUUAUCAAAUCAUUAUAAUUAAUAAGCAUAAAAGAAAUUGGUAAGGAAACCAUGUCUUUCCUGGCUUUAUCUGUGAUUCUUUUGUCCAGUUUUAAAGAAUGGUUAACUUUAUCUUUUAACUUUAGAAUGGCUAAAGUGUUCUAAGUUUUGGUUUUCCUAGCUGUUCAUUUUCCUUUAGAUUUUUGACAAUUAAGGCAGUUUGUCCAUAACCUUACUCACAGAAGAUACUUUGCUUGGAUUUCUGUUAAUAAGAGGCAGAAGACUGUGGGAACCAGUAACAAAAGCAGGUACACAUUUAAGAAAGCAAGUUAAUAUAUGUACUAGUUGUUUUCUAUAAAUGUUCUUUGGAAAAAUAAUCCUUCUAUAUUUGCAUUAAUUUGACUUAACUUUACCAAGUUAUUAUUAGUUCUUUUUGAUUGAUCUUCUAUUAUUCAGCCAUCCAUCCAUUCAUUAAUUUAACAAAGGUUUAUUGAAGUGCCCAGCACAAUUUAUGUACUAUAGAGAAGGCAAGAAUGUCUAUCAUGGGAGACUGUAAGUCCAAUGGGUGCAUUUGAAGCAGAAGACAGUAAUUGCACCCAACUGCUCUAAUUCAGUUCAGCAUCAGAAUCCAGCAGUAAUAGUACAGAUGGCCUAAAAUACAUCUGUGUGUAUCUGUAUGUGUGCACACACCCAUGUAUAUAUAUUUAUCUAUCUGUACAAACACUACAUAUGUAUACACACUAUCUAUGUAAUAUAUAAUAUAUGUAUAAUGCAUAUAAAUUCUAAGAAGUGUAUUUGUGUUAUCUUUAAAAUAGAACAAUUGUAUCUUGAAGUGAUAAAUGCAGAGAAUUGGUUUUUAUUGUUGAUCUGUGGAUUUAAUGAUUUUUAGGUGAAAAG